AGAGUUGAUCCUGGCUCAGAACGAACGCUGGUAGCGUGGAUUAGGCAUGCAAGUCGAACGGGAUCGGGGGGUUAGCAAUAAUCUCCCGUGAGAGUGGCGGAUUGGGGAGGAACACGUGAGCAACCUGCCUUGAGUCGGGGAAAACCGUUGGAAACGACGGCUAAUACCGGAUGUGGCGCCCGGUGACAUCACCGGAGCGCUAAAGGGGGCCGCAAGGCUCCCGCUCGUAGAGGGGCUCGCGCACCAUCAGCUUGUUGGCGGGGUAACGGCCCACCAAGGCCUACGGUUAGCUGGUCUGAGAGGAUGACCAGCCCCACUGGGACUGAGAUACUGCCCAGACUCCUACGGGAGGCUGCAGUCGAGGAUCAUUUGCAAUGGGCGAAAGCCUGACAAUGCGACGCUGCGUGGAGGAUGAAGGCCUUCGGGUUGUAAACUCCUGUCAUGGGGGGAACAGGCGAGGGGAGUCAAUACCUCCCUUAGUUGAGUGUACCCCAAGAGGAAUUGGCGGCUAACUCUGUGCCAGCCGCCGC
rnacentral:rRNA from 1 species